AGGAGGAGCUGGCAUUCCCUGGGAGCUCCCAGCCAAUAUGGAGCCUCCAAACGAGGCUGCAGGAAGAGCCUGCUGCGGGCUAGCGACGGAGGGCUCGGAGAGGUCAGCCGCACGUCUGCCAGGACUGCCCUGCCCUAGAUUAAAGAUGUCUUCUCUUAUGUAACACUUUCUGAAAACACCGCUUCCCAGGCAAACCUCAGCUGUGAUCCGAACAGGCUCCUAUUGACUGAGAGCAAAGCCUGGGAUGACUAAGGUGCAUUGUAAUAAUGGGCCUCCAUGCCGGAGGAUUAGCAUGUAACAUUCAGAAAUCAUUACACAACCCUCACAUAGCGAGCCUUCAAUCAGCCAGGGCAGUUGGGUCAACGAAUGCCAUUCUUCUGCAAUCAUGUCCACAAAUGCCAAAAUACACACGCUUACUCCCGACUUUUUUUUAAAGGAAGAAAAAUAAAUAAGAUCCCGAGUAUUUCCUACAGGGAAAUAAGAAGAUCAGGGCUGUUGGGAGUAAUUCGCUCUGCCGGCCACAGAGUAACACCAGAACACGCAGAAAUGGGUUGCCACAUCACUAAAGAAGAACGUGCAGACUCAGCUCGAGGGACAUUUUGUACCCACCGAAGUCUAGCCUGCUCACCCCAGUUACUCACCCCAACCUGCUACAGAAAAUAUUUUGCAUGUAAUUUGCAUUUAUCCAUCUGAUACGAAUAAAAGCAAUUCCAGGGCAACCA
rnacentral:lncRNA from 1 species